CCCUACGGGGGGCAGCAGUGAGGAAUAUUGGUCAAUGGGCGAGAGCCUGAACCAGCCAAGUCGCGUGAGGGAAGACGGUCCUAUGGAUUGUAAACCUCUUUUGCCGGGGAGCAAAAAGCGGUACGUGUACCGCAUCGAGAGUACCCGGAGAAAAAGCAUCGGCUAACUCCGUGCCAGCAGCCGCGGUAAUACGGAGGAUGCGAGCGUUAUCCGGAUUUAUUGGGUUUAAAGGGUGCGCAGGCGGCGUGUCAAGCAAGCGGUAAAAUAGCGGGGCUCAACCCCGUCGAGCCGUUUGAACUGGCGCG
rnacentral:rRNA from 1 species